AUUGAACGCUGGCGGCAGGCUUAACACAUGCAAGUCAAGCGGGGAAAGGUAGCUUGCUACCUGACCUAGCGGCGGACGGGUGAGUAAUGCUUAGGAAUCUGCCUAUUAGUGGGGGACAACAUUCCGAAAGGAAUGCUAAUACCGCAUACGCCCUACGGGGGAAAGCAGGGGAUCUUCGGACCUCGCGCUAAUAGAUGAGCCCAAGUCAGAUUAGCUAGUUGGUGGGGUAAAGGCCUACCAAGGCGACGAUCUGUAGCGGGUCUGAGAGGAUGAUCCGCCACACUGGGACUGAGACACGGCCCAGACUCCUACGGGAGGCAGCAGUGGGGAAUAUUGGACAAUGGGCGAAAGCCUGAUCCAGCCAUGCCGCGUGUGUGAAGAAGGCCUUUUGGUUGUAAAGCACUUUAAGCGAGGAGGAGGCUACUUGGAUUAAUACUCUAGGAUAGUGGACGUUACUCGCAGAAUAAGCACCGGCUAACUCUGUGCCAGCCGCUGCGGUAAGAC
rnacentral:rRNA from 1 species